CACAAAUCUGCCGCCCUCCACUCACUUGCCCUCUGACCAUUCCCAGUCAACCACUACAGUUCAGUCAUUGGCUGUAGCUGAGGGUGUGUUAUCAAAUAUGCCUGCUUCUGUCUCAUCACCUGAUGUAUAUCAAUCACAGACAACAGAAGCUACCACUGCUUUGUCACCCCUGAAGUCUAUAAAGAGUGUUGAAACGGUUGGGACGGUGGCAGUGGGCGUUCCCC